rnacentral:rRNA from 1 species
UACGUAGGGUGCGAGCGUUAAUCGGAAUUACUGGGCGUAAAGCGUGCGCAGGCGGUUUUGUAAGCCAGAUGUGAAAUCCCCGGGCUCAACCUGGGAAUGGCAUUUGGGACUGCAAGGCUGGAGUUUGGCAGAGGAGACUGGAAUUCCUGGUGUAGCAGUGAAAUGCGUAGAUAUCAGGAGGAAUACCGAUGGCGAAGGCAGGUCUCUGGGCUAUAACUGACGCUCAUGCACGAAAGCGUGGGGAGCAACAGG